rnacentral:rRNA from 1 species
AAUGAACGCUGGCGGCAUGCCUAACACAUGCAAGUCGAACGACACCUUCGGGUUUAGUCGCGCACCGGGUGGUAAACCGUGGGAAACUGCCCUUGGGUUUGGCAUAACAGUUGGAAACGACUCCCAAUACCGGAUGAUGACGUAAAUCCAAAGAUUUAUCGCCCAAGGAUGAGCCCCCGUAGGAUUAGCUUGUUGGUGAGGUAAAGGCUCACCAAGGCGACGAUCCUUAGCUGGUCCGAGGGGAUGAUCAGCCACACUGGGACUGAGACACGGCCCAGACUCCUACGGGAGGCAGCAGUGGGGAAUAUUGGACAAUGGGCGGAAGCCUGAUCCAGCAAUGCCGCGUGAGUGAUGAAGGCCUUAGGGUUGUAAAGCUCUUUUACCCGGGAUGAUAAUGACAGUACCGGGAGAAUAAGCUCCGGCUAACUCCGUG